UACGUAGGGUGCGGGCGUUAAUCGGAAUUACUGGGCGUAAAGCGUGCGCAGGCGGCUCCUUAAGUCAGAUGUGAAAUCCCCGGGCUUAACCUGGGAACUGCGUUUGAAACUGAGGGGCUUGAGUGUGGAAGAGGGGGGUGGAAUUCCAGGUGUAGCAGUGAAAUGCGUAGAGAUCUGGAGGAACACCGAUGGCGAAGGCAGCCCCCUGGGCUAACACUGACGCUCAUGCACGAAAGCGUGGGGAGCAAACAGGAUUAGAUACCCUGGUAGUCCACGCCCUAAACGAUGUCAACUGGUUGUCGGGGAAGCAAUUCCUUGGUAACGAAGCUAACGCGUGAAGUUGACCGCCUGGGGAGUACGGCCGCAAGGUUA
rnacentral:rRNA from 1 species